GCCAGACUCCUACGGGAGGCAGCAGUGGGGGAUAUUGCACAAUGGGGGGAACCCUGAUGCAGCGACGCCGCGUGGGUGAAGAAGUAUUUCGGUAUGUAAAGCCCUAUCGGCAGGGAAGAAAUUGGACGGUACCUGACUAAGAAGCCCCGGCUAACUACGUGCCAGCAGCCGCGGUAAUACGUAGGGGGCAAGCGUUAUCCGGAUUCACUGGGUGUAAAGGGAGCGUAGACGGCCAUGCAAGCCUGGAGUGAAAGCCCGGGGCCCAACCCCGGGACUGCUCUGGGAACUGUGCGGCUGGAGUGCGGGAGGGGCAGGCGGAAUUCCUGGUGUAGCGGUGAAAUGCGUAGAUAUCAGGAGGAACACCGGCGGCGAAGGCGGCCUGCUGGACCGCGACUGACGUUGAGGCCCGAAAGCGUGGGGAGCAAACAGGAUUAGAUACCCUGGUA
rnacentral:rRNA from 1 species